rnacentral:rRNA from 1 species
GACGAACGCUGGCGGCGUGCUUAACACAUGCAAGUCGAACGCUGAAGCUCAGCUUUUGUUGGGUGGAUGAGUGGCGAACGGGUGAGUAACACGUGAGUAACCUGCCCCCUUCUUUGGGAUAACGCCCGGAAACGGGUGCUAAUACUGGAUAUUCACUGGUCUUCGCAUGGGGGUUGGUGGAAAGGGUUUUUCUGGUGGGGGAUGGGCUCGCGGCCUAUCAGCUUGUUGGUGGGGUGAUGGCCUGCCAAGGCUUUGACGGGUAGCCGGCCUGAGAGGGUGACCGGUCACAUUGGGACUGAGAUACGGCCCAGACUCCUACGGGAGGCAGCAGUGGGGAAUAUUGCACAAUGGGCGCAAGCCUGAUGCAGCGACGCCGCGUGAGGGAUGGAGGCCUUCGGGUUGUGAACCUCUUUCGCUCAUGGUCAAGCCGCAACAAUGGUUGUGGUGAGGGUAGUGGGUAAAGAAGCGCCGGCUAACUACGUG